GACGUAGGGGCCAGCGUUGCUCGGAAUUACUGGCGUAAAGGGUUCGUAGGCGGUGCGGUAAGUCGGAAGUGAAAUCUCUGGGCUUAACUCAGAGGCUGCUUUCGAAACUGCCGUGCUGGAGUGCGGGAGAGGCGAGUGGAAUUGCAGGUGUAGCGGUGAAAUGCGUAGAUAUCUGCAGGAACACCCGUGGCGAAGGCGGCUCGCUGGACCGCAACUGACGCUGAGGCGCGAAAGCGUGGGGAGCAAACAGG
rnacentral:rRNA from 1 species